UACGUAGGGUGCGAGCGUUGUUCGGAAUUACUGGGCGUAAAGGGCUCGUAGGCGGCCAACUAAGUCGGACGUGAAAUCCCCAGGCUCAACCUGGGAACUGCGUCUGAUACUGGAUGGCUUGAAUCCGGGAGAGGGAUGCAGAAUUCCAGGUGUAGCGGUGAAAUGCGUAGAUAUCUGGAGGAAUACCGGUGGCGAAGGCGGCAUCCUGGACCGGCAUUGACGCUGAGGCGCGAAAGCUAGGGGAGCAAACGGG
rnacentral:rRNA from 1 species